AGGAUGCCCUGUACCCUGGAGCAUUUAAUUCUCCCAGCGUCAGGCAGUGUUAAAGAGGAUGAGCUCUGAUGAGAAGCAACACCGGUGCCUUCUGAGAACAACCCGUGGAUAAGAUUCCCAUGGAUGCCUCUUCCCACCUUGACUGUGACAGCGCUCGCUGGGGAUCUUCAAACUGACCAUGCACACAAUGCAUUUGCUAUCGCCGUGAUCCCUGGCAUCACAGAAUGACAGGAAUGAAAGGAGAUGCCAGUCCCUGGGCUCCAGAUGCCUCCGAUCAGCCUGGUCCACGUGCGCCAAUCCAGGAGUCGUCGCGACGGAUCACUGAGACUG
rnacentral:lncRNA from 1 species